rnacentral:rRNA from 1 species
CCUACGGGAGGCAGCAGUGAGGAAUUUUCCGCAAUGGGCGAAAGCCUGACGGAGCAAUACCGCGUGGAGGAAAAAGAAGACCUGUGGGUUGUAAACUCCUUUUCUCAGAGAAGAACACUGACGGUAUCUGAGGAAUAAGCACCGGCUAACUAUGUGCCAGCAGCCGCGGUAAU